CGCGCGCGGGCGGGGGGCGCGCGGGGAGGGGGACGCGGCUCGGGGCGCUCACCAGCCCCGCUCCCCAGGGCUCACCCCAACACCCUGCACUGGGUCGAUGAGGCCGGGAAGGUCGGAGAGCAGCUGCCGCUGGAGGACCCUGACGUCUACUGCCCCUACAGCGCCAUCGGCAACGUCACGGGAGAGCUGGUGUACGCCCACUACGGGCGGCCCGAAGACCUGCAGGACCUGCGGGCCAGGGGCGUGGAUCCAGUGGGCCGCCUGCUGCUGGUGCGCGUGGGGGUGAUCAGCUUCGCCCAGAAGGUGACCAAUGCUCAGGACUUCGGGGCUCAAGGAGUGCUCAUAUACCCAGAGCCAGCGGACUUCUCCCAGGACCCACCCAAGCCAAGCCUGUCCAGCCAGCAGGCAGUGUAUGGACAUGUGCACCUGGGAACUGGAGACCCCUACACACCUGGCUUCCCUUCCUUCAAUCAAACCCAGUUCCCUCCAGUUGCAUCAUCAGGCCUUCCCAGCAUCCCAGCCCAGCCCAUCAGUGCAGACAUUGCCUCCCGCCUGCUGAGGAAGCUCAAAGGCCCUGUGGCCCCCCAAGAAUGGCAGGGGAGCCUCCUAGGCUCCCCUUAUCACCUGG
rnacentral:lncRNA from 1 species